GCGCCAUUCACUCAAAGGCAGAGUAUCAGGUUCACUCACUUGAAAUUAUUGUGGGUUCGAGUCCCACAUGGCGCACCA
rnacentral:tRNA from 1 species